rnacentral:rRNA from 1 species
UACGGGGGGGGCAAGCGUUGUUCGGAAUUACUGGGCGUAAAGGGCUCGUAGGCGGCCAACUAAGUCAGACGUGAAAUCCCUCGGCUUAACCGGGGAACUGCGUCUGAUACUGGAUGGCUUGAAUCCGGGAGAGGGAUGCGGAAUUCCAGGUGUAGCGGUGAAAUGCGUAGAUAUCAGGAGGAAUACCGAUGGCGAAGGCAGGUCUCUGGGCUGACACUGACGCUCAUGCACGAAAGCGUGGGGAGCAAACAGG